rnacentral:rRNA from 1 species
UACGGAGGGUGCAAGCGUUAUCCGGAUUCACUGGGCUUAAAGGGUGCGUAGGUGGGUUGCCAAGUCCGUGGUGAAAUCUCCGAGCUUAACUCGGAAACUGCCGUGGAUACUGGUAAUCUUGAAUAUCGUGGAGGUAAGCGGAAUAUGUCAUGUAGCGGUGAAAUGCUUAGAUAUGACAUAGAACACCGAUUGCGAAGGCAGCUUGCUACACGAUCAUUGACACUGAGGCACGAAAGCGUGGGGAUCAAACAGG